GGACAGAUGGCCGAGUUGGUCUAAGGCGCACGACUGGAAAUCGUGUAACGGUUAACCCCGUUCUAGGGUUCGAAUCCCUAUCUGUCCGCCA
rnacentral:tRNA from 2 species